AACUAACGCUGGCGGCGUGCCUAACACAUGCAAGUCGUACGAGAAAGUUGGCUUCGGCCGAUGAGUACAGUGGCGCACGGGUGAGUAACGCGUGGAUAAUCUGCCCUUAAGUGUGGAAUAACGUACCGAAAGGUGCGCUAAUACCGCAUAAUGCCUGGCAACAUAAGUUGUCCGGCCAAAGAAGGCCUCUGCUUGCAAGCUUUCGCUAAAGGAUGAGUCCGCGUACCAUUAGCUAGUUGGUGAGGUAAUGGCUCACCAAGGCGACGAUCAGUAGCUGGUCUUAGAGGAUGAUCAGCCACACUGGGACUGAGACACGGCCCAGACUCCUACGGGAGGCAGCAGUGAGGAAUCUUGGACAAUGGGCGCAAGCCUGAUCCAGCCAUGCCGCGUGAGUGAUGAAGGCCUUAGGGUUGUAAAGCUCUUUUGCCGGGGAUGAUAAUGACCGUACCCGGAGAAUAAGCCACGGCUAAAUUCGUG
rnacentral:rRNA from 1 species